AGAGUUUGAUCAUGGCUCAGGAUGAACGCUAGCGGGAGGCUUAACACAUGCAAGUCGAGGGGUAACAGAGGUAGCAAUACUUGCUGACGACCGGCGUACGGGUGAGUAACGCGUAUGCAACCUGCCCUAUACAGGAGGAUAGCCCGAAGAAAUUCGGAUUAAUACUCCAUGCAGCAUAUUUUUCGCAUGAUAAAUAUGUUAAAGAUUUAUCGGUAUAGGAUGGGCAUGCGUCCCAUUAGUUAGUUGGUGAGGUAAUGGCUCACCAAGGCUUCGAUGGGUAUGGGGUCUAAAAGGAUGGUCCCACACACUGGCACUGAGACACGGGCCAGACUCCUACGGGAGGCAGCAGUGAGGAAUAUUGGUCAAUGGGCGAGAGCCUGAACCAGCCAUCCCGCGUGCAGGAUGACAGUCCUAGUGAUUGUAAACUGCUUUUCUAUAAGAUGAAUAAGGACUACGUGUAGUUCGAUGACCGUAUUAUAGGAAUAAGCAUCGGCUAACUCCGUGCCAGCAGCCGCGGUAAUACGGAGGAUGCAAGCGUUAUCCGGAUUUAUUAGGUUUAAAGGGUGCGUAGGUGGGCGUUUAAGUCAGUGGUUAAAGCCAAUAGCUUAACUAUUGUAUGCCAUUGAAACUGGAUGUCUUGAAUAGGGUAGAGGUAGGCGGAAUGUGUUGUGUAGCGGUGAAAUGCUUAGAUAUAACACAGAACACCGAUUGCGAAGGCAGCUUACUAUGCCUUUAUUGACACUGAUGCACGAAAGCGUGGGGAUCAAACAGGAUUAGAUACCCUGGUAGUCCACGCUGUAAACGAUGAUCACUCGUUUUUG
rnacentral:rRNA from 1 species